CACCUGUUUAUCAAAAACAUGGUUUUUUGAUUAUAAUUUAAAAUUUGAUCUGCUCAAUGAUUAAAUUAAAUAGCUGCAGUAUUUUAACUGUACAAAGGUAGCAUAAUCAUUUGUCUUUUUAUUAAAGUCUGGAAUGAAUGAUUUAAUGAAAAAAUUUCUGUCUCAAUUUAAUUAAUAAAAUUUUAUUUUAAGUUAAAAUUCUUAAAAUUUAUUUAAAGACGAGAAGACCCUAUAGAAUUUUAUAAAAUUUUUUAUUUUUAUUUUAUAAAUUAAUAUAAUUAAAUUUAAUUUUAUUUUAUUGGGGUAAUAAAAAAAUUUAAAUAAAUUUUUUUGAUUAAAUUCAUUUAUAAAUGUCAAUAAAUAAUUUAUCCAAAAUUUUUGAAAUAAAAAUUAAUUACCUUAGGGAUAACAGCGUUAUUUUUUUAGAAAGUUCUUAUUGAUAAAAAAGUUUGCGACCUCGAUGUUGAAUUAAGAUAAAAUUUUAAUGUAGAAAUUAAAAAUUUUAAGUCUGUUCGACUUUUAAAAUCUUACAUGAUCUGAUUCCAAAUCGAA
rnacentral:rRNA from 1 species